rnacentral:rRNA from 1 species
GAUGAACGCUGGCGGCGUGCCUAAUACAUGCAAGUCGAGCGAAUGACGAGGAGCUUGCUCCUCUGAUUUAGCGGCGGACGGGUGAGUAACACGUGGGUAACCUGCCUGUAAGACGGGGAUAACUCCGGGAAACCGGAGCUAAUACCGGAUGAUAACGAGAAGCGCCUGCUUCUUUUUUGAAAGUCGGUUUCGGCUGACGCUUACAGAUGGGCCCGCGGCGCAUUAGCUAGUUGGUGAGGUAACGGCUCACCAAGGCGACGAUGCGUAGCCGACCUGAGAGGGUGAUCGGCCACACUGGGACUGAGACACGGCCCAGACUCCUACGGGAGGCAGCAGUAGGGAAUCUUCGGCAAUGGACGAAAGUCUGACCGAGCAACGCCGCGUGAGCGAUGAAGGCCUUCGGGUCGUAAAGCUCUGUUGUCAGAGAAGAACAAGUACCGGAGUAACUGCCGGUACCUUGACGGUACCUGACCAGAAAGCCACGGCUAACUACGUGCCAGCAGCCGCAGUAA